GGGUGUAUAAAAUAAACUGUUUGUUUUGUUUUUUAUUUCGUCAAAAAACAUGGCCGUCAUGGCUAAAAAUAGAACACAGGGUAAAAUGCAGUUUUUGGCUUAUAUCUCAAAAACUCCAGCAUUUAGAGCAAAUAAGACAAGAAGUUAAAGUAUUAAUUAGGUCAAGGUCUACCUUUCCUGAAAUUUUCAGCCAAAUUGGGUAACUGGUUUUUCAGUUAUUGCCCC
rnacentral:lncRNA from 1 species